rnacentral:lncRNA from 1 species
CCCACUGACUUCAUCAAGUCAUUAAAUUGGAUUAGUGUCAUGCUGGUUGAAAUGGCACCUAGAUCAAUUACACUGAUCAACUUUAAUGGCAUAGGUCAGCUCGAAUCAUUUAGCAGUCUAAUCAAAAUAUAAUCCAUCAAAUUGAUCAGAUAAGCUUGUCUUAGACACUAUCAAAAUGGUCAGGUAAGCCACUUCCAAUUAAAAACUACCGAACGAAAUGCCAAACUUACCUAAGACACCCAUUGGUUAAUUAGUUUCGAUUUGACCAGCCUACUGACUUGGGUUCAACCACUGAGCCUCAAUCAAAGUUCAUUUGAUCUAAUCAAAGAUAUGAACUUGACCAUUUACAACUAUUAUAUUGGUUCUAGAGAAAAUCUUAAUUUAGUCUAAUUCAAUAUUUGGUUAGAUUUAAUCAAUUUCUCUAUAUGGUCCAUUAAUUCUUUGAUUCUAAUCUUAGAUCUAACCUAAUUAAGAAGAUCUGAUUUGAGCUAAUCCAUGCCCCC